GACGGAGGGUGCAAACGUUGUUCGGAAUCACUGGGCAUAAAGCGCACGUAGGCGGUUCGUCAAGUCAGGUGUGAAAUCCCCCGGCUCAACCGGGGAACUGCAUUUUGAUACUGGCGGGCUCGAGGAUGGUAGGGGUGAGCGGAACUCCAGGUGGAGCGGUGAAAUGCGUAGAUAUCUGGAGGAACACCGGUGGCGAAGGCGGCUCACUGGACCAUAUCUGACGCUGAGGUGCGAAAGCCAGGGUAGCAAACGGG
rnacentral:rRNA from 1 species